rnacentral:lncRNA from 1 species
ACAGGAAGAAGAUAGAGAAGUUUGAAUUCGAGAACACCACGCCACCAGUUGAGAUAUGCGACGAGCUCUGGAAGAAGAUUUAGCGUGUUUCAGAUCAUUCUUGUUGUAAGGCGGCGGAAACCUGUGCCUGUAGAUUGCCGCGGUGUGGUUGUCCUCCCAGGAUGCAGUUUGCCAUGUUGUUUGUAUCGUUAGUUCAUGACGCUGUACUGUUUUGUAAGGCGGCGGAAACCUGUGUUUGUAUCGUUAGUUUGCCAUGUCAGAUUAGCUACUACUUCUUGUGUUUUAAAUUAUUCCAAAUUAUAAGUUAUUCUAAUUUUCCUGAGAGUCAA